rnacentral:rRNA from 2 species
GGCUCAGAUUGAACGCUGGCGGCAGGCCUAACACAUGCAAGUCGAGCGGAAACAGGAGAGUAGCUUGCUACUUUCGCUGUCGAGCGGCGGACGGGUGAGUAAUGCCUAGAUAUCUGCCUAGUCGUGGGGGAUAACAGUUGGAAACGACUGCUAAUACCGCAUACGCCCUACGGGGGAAAGGAGGGGACCUUCGGGCCUUUCGCGAUUAGAUGAGUCUAGGUGGGAUUAGCUAGUAGGUGAGGUAAUGGCUCACCUAGGCGACGAUCCCUAGCUGUUCUGAGAGGAUGAUCAGCCACACUGGGACUGAGACACGGCCCAGACUCCUACGGGAGGCAGCAGUGGGGAAUAUUGCACAAUGGGCGAAAGCCUGAUGCAGCCAUGCCGCGUGUGUGAAGAAGGCCUUCGGGUUGUAAAGCACUUUCAGCGAGGAGGAAAGGUUGUGUGUUAAUAGCACAUAGCUGUGACGUUACUCGCAGAAGAAGCACCGGCUAACUUCGUGCCAGCAGCCGCGGUAAUACGAGGGGUGCAA